UACGUAGGCAGCAGGCGUUGUUCGGAAUUACUGGGCGUAAAGAGUGUGUAGGCGGUGUUCUAAGUUUGUCGUGAAAUCUCCCGGCUUAACUGGGAGGGUGCGGCGAAAACUGGAAUGCUAGAGGAUGGGAGAGGUAAGCGGAAUUCCUGGUGUAGCGGUGAAAUGCGUAGAUAUCAGGAGGAACACCUGUGGUGUAGACAGCUUACUGGACCAUUUCUGACGCUGAGACACGAAAGCGUGGGUAGCAAACAGG
rnacentral:rRNA from 1 species